rnacentral:rRNA from 1 species
CUGAAAUUUAAAUGGCCGCGGUAUUUUGACCGUGCAAAGGUAGCAUAAUCAUUAGUCUUUUAAUUGAGGGCUAGUAUGAAUGGCGUCACGACGUAUUUCCUGUCUCAGAGAUUUUAUUUAAAAUUUAAUUUUUAAGUCAAAAAGCUUAAAUUUUAUUAUAAGACGAGAAGACCCUAUAGAUCUUUAUAAGUCAGAAUUAAUAAGAAUUUAUCUUUUUUAUUAUUUUUAAGCUUAUUUUGUUGGGGUGACAAGAAAAUAAAUAGAACUUUUCUUACUAUUACAUAGAUUUAUGUUUAUAUGAUCCGUUAUAAAUGAUUAUUAGACUAAGAUACCUUAGGGAUAACAGCGUUAUUCUUUUCGAGAGUUCUUAUCGACAAAAGAGUUUGCGACCUCGAUGUUGGACUAAGAAAA